AGAUUGAGCUUGCUCUUCUUGGUCACGACCCUUGGUUCCUGUGUUGCCUUCCCAUCGUGUGGAAAAAUUCGUCAGACAGCCCCGCACCUGUCCUCCUUGUGGCUUUGCGGCUGCAAUGCGGACCUCGAAGGCAGUCCCCGUGUCCCGGACAUAUCCUCUGACUUUUGUCGUGGCUGUCUCGGUCCACAGGACAACUGCUCGUGCUCUCGGAUGUGGAAAAUUAAGCGGACGUGGGGGGGUCUUGGCCUCCGGUUGCUCCAAUCAAGUCCCUCGAUAAGAAUGACUCUCGCUACCUCAUUGAUCGCAGGCCGUCUAGGCCCGUGGCAUCAAUGAUGGUCCGAAGUCGAUAACGAAUGCUACCUGGUUGAUCCUG
rnacentral:misc_RNA from 1 species